CAUGAUCAUGUUCCUCCCAACUCUUUUUUUUUGUUCUUUUUCUUUUUUCUUUUCAAUGUCUGAAUGAGGAGGGAAGAAGAAGAGCAGAGUCACAUUUCGGACCUUGGACUGGCCGGGGGGGGCGGGUAGAGUGCUGUCACAGCUGGAUGUUGUGGAUCACGCGCACACUCCUAUUUACUGCGCUCCCAACAUCUGGAUUUCAUCAUCAGAGCGCACCGCGCCCACAUUUACUCUGCUUUACUCUACACUCGGGUCUCUUUCGCAGUAAACCGGGGAAAGGAGAUGAUUAUAAUCAUGUGUUCGCUGCCGCCAGCAGCUCUGUGUCUCUUCGUGCUCCUCUUCACCGCUCUUCCGAGCCUCGUGACGGCCAACGUGGUCCAGGAGCGCGCCGCUCUUGAUGAAGAGAAAUUCCUUCGGCUCAGUUGUGGAACAUACCAAGAAAAUUAUGAUGUGAUCUGGAAAAAAGAAGGGCAAGAAGUUGCUAGCGUAAAGAAGGGAAUCAAAUCACUGCAGGAAAAUUUUGGCUUAACAGAGCGUGGAACCCUUGUGGUGUCCGAAGUGCGCAGGUCCGACGCAGGAGAAUACACCGCGAUGCUGCUUGACAGCUCGCAAAACAAAUUGUGUGAAAUGACUGUGCAGCUGAGUGUGUCAGAUUCCAGUGACCCCCCACCUGAGCCAACAAAGAAACCUGAGAAAAGCCCACCUAAAGAUCCCAAAGCACCACCCCCCCAUAAGCCAAAACCUGGACUGGCCAAACCUAGAGCUUCUGCUUCCAUCAUCACUGCAAGCAUCUCUGCUCAUGUGAUACUGUUAUUGGUGUGGAUUUUGGUGUGAAAAGGUUCCAGGCCAUGAUUUCCACACCUUGAGAAUUCCCAGGUCAGUCUCAGUGAGUACCUCCUGCUCGACUGAGUAUAAUGCGGUUUCCUACGGUAAAGUUACCCAUAUACGGCACAGGUCCCCUCCCCUAUUGCUGCAGUUAUAAACUCUGUCCUGUGGACUAAAACUUUAUAUUGUUGGUCAUGAAGAGCCUCCAGGUAUAAAUCCGUCCAAUUUCAUGACACAAUUAAAACAUGUUUUUUUGCAAUCUUUAAACUUCUAGCCAUUACUUGCUGUCUGUAUCAUAGCCACUUGUGCAACAUCUGACUGUGUGAAAAUUAAUUUAUGCUGCAUGAACUCCUUACAUAGUGACAGGCAGCAGGUGCAGUUUACUGUAAAUUACUUUAUUCACUUCCGUGUUCUAAAGCAGGAGGCGGAGGUGUGUGCAGUGUGUGUGUUGUGGUGUCAUACACACCGCUGUUAUAAUCAGGAUGGCCACUGUGAUCAGUGACAUCUCAGCCGAAGUGCAGGCUGUAAACAAGUAUACUGCGCUGAGGCUUACCACGGUGAAGUAGUGCACUCACAGUACAGGUGCAGAACGCAGUGAUUUUUUUUUUGAAUCCGGAAUAAAUGCACAAGGGAGAAACA
rnacentral:lncRNA from 1 species